ensembl:lncRNA
AUGAUUUCCAGCUGUUUGUCACCAGCAGAGGCGUGAGCAGUGACGGCUUCGGUUUGCCCCCGGUCAUCACCUGUUUGGCACCUCCAUUGCGUGUGCGUGCCGGUGUUGUGACAGAACACUCAGUAGAAGUGCUGUGGGAUCGAGCACAAGGCCACGAGCACACGUAUGAAGUGCUUUGUAUGGGCUGUACUGACACUGUCAUGGUAAGAUCUUUUGUAGGAGAAUGUGUGUGUGUGUGUGUGUGUGUGUGUGUGUGUGUGUGUGUGUGUGUGU